rnacentral:rRNA from 1 species
CGGGUGAGUAACGCGUGAGGAACCUGCCUCAAAGAGGGGGACAACAGUUGGAAACGACUGCUAAUACCGCAUAAGCCCACAGGUCGGCAUCGACCAGAGGGAAAAGGAGCAAUCCGCUUUGAGAUGGCCUCGCGUCCGAUUAGCUAGUUGGUGAGGUAACGGCCCACCAGGCGACGAUCAGUAGCCGGUCUGAGAGGAUGAACGGCCACACUGGAACUGAGACACGGUCCAG